rnacentral:rRNA from 1 species
AGCCACGGCUAACUACGUGCCAGCAGCCGCGGUAAUACGUAGGUGGCAAGCGUUGUCCGGAAUUACUGGGUGUAAAGGGAGCGUAGGCGGGGAGGCAAGUUGAAUGUCUAAACUAUCGGCUCAACUGAUAGUCGCGUUCAAAACUGCCACUCUUGAGUGCAGUAGAGGUAGGCGGAAUUCCUAGUGUAGCGGUGAAAUGCGUAGAUAUUAGGAGGAACACCAGUGGCGAAGGCGGAUUGCUGGACGAUAACUGACGGUGAGGCGCGAAAGUGUGGGGAGCAAACAGGAUUAGAUACCCUGGUAGUCCACACUGUAAACGAUGAUUGCUAGGUGUGGGGGGUCUGACCCCUUCCGUGCCGGAGCUAACGCAAUAAGCAAUCCACCUGGGGAGUACGACCGCAAGGUUGAAACUCAAAGGAAUUGACGGGGACCCGCACAAGCAGUGGAUUAUGUGGUUUAAUUCGAAGCAACGCGAAGAACCUUACCAGGUCUUGACAUCCAACUAACGAAGUAGAGAUACAUUAGGUGCCCUUCGGGGAAAGUUGAGACAGGUGGUGCAUGGUUGUCGUCAGCUCGUGUCGUGAGAUGUUGGGUUAAGUCCCGCAACGAGCGCAACCCUCGCCAUUAGUUGCUACGCAAGAGCACUCUAAUGGGACCGCUACCGACAAGGUGGAGGAAGGUGGGGACGACGUCAAAUCAUCAUGCCCCUUAUGUGCUGGGCUACACACGUAAUACAAUGGCCAUCAACAGAGAGAAGCAAUACCGCGAGGUGGAGCAAAACUUCAAAAAUGGUCUCAGUUCGGACUGCAGGCUGCAACCCGCCUGCACGAAGUUGGAAUUGCUAGUAAUCGUGGAUCAGCAUGCCACGGUGAAUACGUUCCCGGGUCUUGUACACACCGCCCGUCACACCAUGGGAGCCGGUAACACCCGAAGUCAGUAGUCUAACCGCAAGGAGGACGCUGCCGAAGGUGGGAUUGGCGACUGGGGUGAAGUCGUAACAAGGUAGCCGUAUCGGAAGGUGCGGCU